AGGGGAAGGGCUGCAGUGUUAACGCCAGGCCCGUGAGAGAGAUGAGACACAAGGCGGAGUGAAAGGGCCGGAGGAAGGCUUCCGCAGAGACUCAGAGACAGCCUAGACCAAGAGCAUCAAGGAUGCUCACAGAAGACCUCCACAGGAGUCACACUGCCAUGGGAUAACAACAGCUCCAGGCAUUGAACUCAUGUACCUGCUGAAACAUCUUGUUUUCUCCUCCUCCUGAGAUCUAAGGGUACUAAAUACAUAUCCAC